UGGCUUAGACUCUGGAGUGGGUCUGGUGUCUGCAGCAGAUGCCAUGUGGCUGGUGCUGGGGGUCUCCUGUGGCUUGCAGCUGCUGGCAGGUCUGUGCACUGGGGUGACAGUGACUCAGAAGAAGUUCAUUGCCAUCAUGAACAGGACCACGGCAAGCCUCCCCUGUGAACACGAUGACAGUAACAAGUAUGCAAUCCUGUGGUAUCAGCAGCAGAAAGGUGCAGGCGGGGAGCUGGAGUUUGUAGCCCAGCAGAUAACGGGAAACGAAGCAGAGAUAGAAGCUAAAUUCAAAGAAAGGUUCAAAUGGAAGCAAACAAAUACUUUCAAGUCCUCCCUGGACAUUAUGGUUGGAGCAGCUGAAGACUCUGCAGUGUAUUUCUGUGCAACUAGCAAAGCACAGUGUGCCUUUCCUGCCUCACAGCUGUGCAAAAUCUAACAAGCCCUGCUCAUCUUGCCUCCCUCCCUCCACAAGUCAGCCACAGUCACAGUAAAGUCUGUACAGCAAAAGUGAAGCCGAGUUUCUGUCUCCCUAAGAUUUAUAUUUUUGGGCAAAGGGCUGGGAGUAACUAUCCUGGAGGCUCAGCACCAAAUUUCCCCUGGUGAAGGGCAGUAGAAGGAUGCCCUGCAGGCUUCAGCAACUAAGCAGGAUAUAGUUUAAGGAGAGACACAGCUCUUGUGCAAUCAUGUGUCUCAGGAUAUUCCCACUCAGGGGCAUGCAGAACUCUUCACUCCCACCAUGACACCGCCCUGGGACAAUUGCCAGUGGAGAUGCAUGUCACAGCAGAAGCAGAGGACUCUUGGUCCUUGGAUCAAAUAGACUGAAAACAGUCGUGGCCAAGGCUGUAGUUGUUGGGGAGGGGCAGACAUCUCCAUUUACUUCUGCUCUACAAGGAGCUAAUUCUUACCCUUGGAGGAAAUGGCAGAUCUGUGCCAUACACAGAAGAGAAAGCAGUGGUGUAGCUCCCUGUGUAUAGUACCCAGCAUCCCCUCACUGAUGACUCUCCUGCAAGGGGGCAAAGUGCCCACUUCAUUCCCAAUGCCACUCUCAGUCAUUUUUCUCCCUCCUGAAACAAGCUCUCCAUGAGGUCAUGGGAUUUGUUCUGUUGGAGUAGACCACCCGGGGGUGGUGGAGCCGCUUCUGUCUUGAACUAGGUACAAGCCAAUAGGACAGAACAGGGUAUGGACAUGGAGGUAGUGAGGAGUCCUUGGGGGAAGCAGUCAUGUUAGGAUAGCACAGAUGACCCUUAGGAAAGGAAAGCAGGCCAAAGGCCCAGCCAGGGCCCAGACUUCCCAGAAUAAAUGUCAGCCAGCAUGGACAGAAGGUAAUUCAGGGCUGAUGCACAGACAGAGUAAAGUAAGAAGUGUCCCAGAAUGCUGGCAGUUCCUAAAGGGCAGACCACUGGAAGUUCAAUGUCAGGGGAUCCCUACCGGGGGAGGGGGGGUAGAUAUAAGAGGAAUCAGCAGAGACUGACAAGGAGCUACAUAGAGCCAAUGGAAGGAAGGGCUAUUCUAAAGGAAGGCUGCACAGGGACCACAAUUUGUAGGACCCACAUCAGAGUUCAGCAGCGUCAGCAAUAUUGACUCUUUGGCUGUAGGUGCCGACUCAGUGUCUCUUGCAGCCAUGAUGGGAAACACCACAGCCUAGAUCUGGUGAUGGGUCAUGUGGCCUGCAAGAAGCCCUGGAGUCCUGAUCCAGGCCACAUGAGUUUGAGGACCCUGAUCUAAGGGAGAGGAGCAUGCCCCUGCUACAGAGGAAUGCAAACAAAGGGAAAGGAUGGGAGAUUGUGAGGGGUAAAGGAAGUGAGAGCAAAUUUGUGAGAAAUGUGCAGGCAGUGAAGUCAGCCAGACCUGAUGACAUUCAGUCCAAGGUGUGGACAGACCUGGGGAAAAUACAUUUUGAAAUAAUUGCUAAGAAUAUUUGCAAAACAAUGAGUGAUAAAUGAGGUAGCCAGAGGGCUGGAGAUCAGGUAAAUUAGUGGGGAAAGGAGGACUUGGGUAAUGUAGAGCUAGAAGUUGUUAGAAGGAAUUAUAAACUAUUCAGUGAGUAAAUAUUUGCUUCACUGCUGAUUCAGGGCUCCCUGCCCAGCUCCUCAGUGUCCCUCACCAAUCUGGGGGCUCCAGCAACAUCUUGCCUAUGUGAUCUGAGGAAUGAUGUGCCAUAACCCUGCUUGAGUAUAUCCUGGAUCCACCUAUUGCUGUUGUCCAAUAAAUGUUGGUUUGUUGAAGAAGA